UGAUGUCGGUUUCAAGACAGGUUGGUCUUUUUUUAGGGGAAACCUGAACUUGCAUGAUAAUAUAUGAUACAACAGUAGUGUCAUUCGGCUGGAGCAACCAAUUAUAUCGACCAUGAGCUAAAGAUAAAACACUUUUUACAAAAAUUGUGAGCCUUCAUAUUGGACGUUCUGCCUUCAUGAAUGAUCCGGGCCUCCUUGAACUCUUGACGCCGGAUGUUGAUCUCUGUAGAUGCCCUUGCUUCCUCCAUUGCCUCUGCUUAACAAGCAUUUUUACAUCACCUGAAAUAUUGAACCAUUGAAGAUUCAGAACACCUGCAAGCCAUAGCGUCACUACACAUGCCAUUGCUUCAAGCAUUUGAGGGUCAUCACAAUUAUCAAUGUUGGCGAGUCAAGGUAAAUUCUCUGAGUUCCUAUUAUGAGAACCGCGCGUCGGCUUUCUGUCAGGCGCCCUUAUGUGCCGACCCAUGUGAGGCGCGAGGCACCCCCUAUUUUUCUUUUUUUUUGAGAUUUCGUAAAAGGUUCUGACAUUAAAAAAAACACGGAUUCAAAAAAUGUUCAACAAAUUCAAAAAAUGACCGUGAUUUCAAAAUAAUGAUUAUUUUUAUUUGAUGAACAAAUUUUGAAGUUGAUGAACUUUUUUUGAAGUUGAUGAUCAAUUUUUUUAUUCAAGAACAUUUUUUUUGGAAAAAAUUGUUGAAUUGUUUUUAUUUAAAUGAACAAUUUUAAUUUGACGAAUAUUUUCAAAAAACGAUGAACAACUUUCAAAUUUGAUGAACAUUUUCUCAAUUUGAUGAACGUUGUUUAAACCAAUGAACAGAAUUAAAUUUGAUGAUUUUUUUAAUCCAAUGAACAGAAAAAGUUUUUGAAUUUGAAAAUAAAUUUGCAAAAAAUGAAAAAGUAAAGAAGUAAAAAAGAGAAAAGGAAAAGGAAAACAGAGAAGAAAAAGGAAAGAAAAAUAAGAAAACAUGAAGAAAACACCCCUGAAAAAUGGGCCGGCCCAUACAAACACCCGAGCACAGGUUGCUCGCGGGUGACCUGCGCACGGAACAUGAUUUCCUGUAAAUUUUGAAAUCAUUAAUUAAGGAGUACUCCUUUAAAAGUCUUUUUCAUCUUUUCAAGUUAUGACAAGUGGCAUAUUGCAUGUGUGUCACUUGUCGCAACCUGUGAAUUUUCCUUUUUUUAGAUCCAUUAUUUCAAAACAUUUUAUUUCUUAAACCGUGCAUCCAAAUCUCGAAUCAUUUUCACCGUUGGAUUUCUCAUGUCGAGAUUUUUAAAACAAGAUUCCAUGUUGAUAGAUUUUGACAAACUUUUUUUUGACAAAAAAACUGAACGAGAAAACCGUGCCUCUUCAAAAAAGACACAUUUUUUUUGUUUUUCGUGCCUUUCGCGAAAGCAAAACCUUGCCUUUCGAGGACAAAAAAACGUGUUUUUUCACUUUCGAGAGGCGCGGCUUGCGGAGCAAAUCCGUGCCUCUUGAGGAAGCAAACCAUGCCCUCGAGGAAGGAAAAAACAAAGAAAACACGUUUCCCCUCAUUUUCAAGAGGCACGGCGGUGCCCCUCGCAAAAGCAAAUUCAUGCAUCUCAAGGAAGGAAAAACAAGAAAACAUGUUUUUUCAAGAGGCAAGGAUGUGCCUCUGUAGGAAGGAAAAGAGCGCGUAUUUUUGUGCAUUUUUUUCACGCAAAAUCUAAGAAAGAUUGGUGGAAAAUCGAAACACCGAAAAACCCUAGAAAAAAUACCAUCCAAAAAGCGAAAACGGGUGAAAAUAAAAUAAAAUUUCAUAGAAACGUUCAAAACACAAUACAUGACGACGGCUGAGAACUUGUCAAAUAACGACGCCCGUGAAUAAUCGUUGGUAGGCUUCCGAUGAAGCGCUUCUCACAUAGUCCCUCCUCGUACUUUCCGUGGGCAUCUUGGCACAGAGGAUUGAUCGAACUGAUCGAAUACAUGGAAAUGAUAUAUAUACUGGCCUAAGAAUAUCUCCAACCGUGUCCCCUACAUGCCCCUCCCAGACCAUUUUGUGUUGCCGGCGGGGAAAAAUACCCCAAUCGCGCCCCUAGGAGCCCGUUUUUCGUCGGUUAGGACCGAAAUUGGCCCCGACGGCCCGAGACCGAACCCAGCAUGCAGGAGGGCGUCCGGGAGCGUCGGCGUUGUUAUUUGCAUGCAACAGGCCCACUCUGAGCCUCCCACUCGCUCUCUCGUGUCUCUCUUGCAUGCAACAGGUCCACCCACGUGCAUGUCUCUCGCCCACUUCAUCUCUUUUUCUCUCAUCUUUCUUGUCUUCUAGUGUUGGAUAGAGGUAUGGCUGAAAAACUCCCCCCAUGGCUGAAAAAGUGGCUCUUGGGGGGCCAACCGAGUGGAGAUACUCUAAAAGAAUAGCAAAGCCGAGCAAGCCAUGUGGCUCAAUUAAACACACAUGAUAUACUAUUGUUUAGUCUGAAACACGAUCCUAAAAAGAGAAGGCAUCGGCAUGCAGCCCACCCUUGCUGUCGAACAGCAACAUCAGCCCCACCCCCACGCGUCAUAUUUGGUUGGCCAUCCCGCAUGAUCUGUAUGUAAUACCAUUUCAUGUGAAUUUUGAUUAAUAGAGCUU
rnacentral:lncRNA from 1 species